AGUAAUGUAUGGGGAUCUGCCUGAUGGCGGGGGGUAACUACUGGAAACGGUAGCUAAUACCGCAUAAUGUCUGCGGACCAAAGCGGGGGACCUCCGGGCCUCGCGCCAUCAGAUGAACCCAGAUGGGAUUAGCUAGUAGGUGAGGUAACGGCUUACCUAGGCGACGAUCCCUAGCUGGUCUGAGAGGAUGAUCAGCCACACUGGGACUGAGACACGGCCCAG
rnacentral:rRNA from 1 species